UUGGGAUAAACUUUCUUUAAAAACGUCACAAAAUCAACAAGUAAGGGAGGAUGAACAAGUAAUUUAGAGAAAAUUCUAGGAUUAGUUGUUUCUAGGUUCUUCGACGAGAAUAUUUUUUAGCAAGAAUACACAAUCACAUAAAUUUCAACUUCAAUCGUAAUUCCACCAUAACACAACCACAAAACACAGGCAAAACGAAUUAACAAUUCGCAGGUACACAAUCAUUAAAAUAGGGUUUUGGCAUAAGGUUCUUAGAUUUUCAAUUUAGGUGAUUGAAAGGGUUUAGGUUUUAAAAUUUGAUCAAAAGGUUAAGUGGAAGACAUAAGCAUAUUUUGGUCUUAGGUGAUUUGGACAGAGACGAGAGGCUCUACUAGUAGUAGAAGAUUUUAGUUUUCACUUUUAGAUCGAGGCUUUUCUUGGCCUUUUUUGCUAAAACUAAUUGUAUAGGAAGGAAAAGGGAAUCAAGUAGAAUUUUUGUCAUGAAAUUUGGUGAUAAUCCGACAUCGAUGAACAGCGAAUAGAAGUGAAGGUAGGGAGCUGCAACAAAGGAGGUUGGCUGGGUUCUGGGUUGUCUGGUAUUAUUCUCGGAUGCUAUUGAAUUUUUAGUAAAAAGGGGGAAAAUAAUAGAAGAGAGAGAAGAUGGAAGAAAAACGAGGACUCAAAAAACAUUUCGGCUAUUUAAGAGAGUUUGAAACGCUGCCGUUUUGAGAUAGAAAGAAAGAAGGCUUGACCCGUACCUAACCCAUAUUUAUGACUCGUGCUCGGACCCGUAAACACCCAACUUUUAUAUAUACAUAUAUAUAUAUAUAUAUAUUUGCCAAUUAUUUUUAGUUUUUAUUAAUUUUCUUGUUAUCUUAUUUAGUUCAAUUUUUUUUUUGUUUUUCUUAUCUAUUUGUUUUAAAUGUUUAGAUUUUUGAAUUUUUUUAAAUAUUUGAUAAGUAGAUGAAAUGUACAUAUAGGGUAAAUAAUAAUUAAUAAAUUAAGUAUAUUGUAUUCUCAUAAUGUUAUUUAUAAAAAAAAUUUAAGAGUAAAUGAAAAUUAGUUCAAUGAUGCAAUUCUAAAAAAUCAUUAUUGGUUGAUUUUUUAUAAUUUUUUAUGUAAGAGUUUUUUUUUUUUUAAUUUGAAUAGAUUGAUGAAAAAUUUAGAAGAAAAACUUUAAAAAAUAAUUGAUAUUUAUUUUCAAAUAAAAAUAUAUAAAAUAAAAUUUUCAAAAUACAAGAAAAUUACUUCAAUAAUGGAAUUCUUAAAAAUAAAUAUUGGUUGAUUUUUUAAGAAAUUUCUAAGUGUGGCAUUUUUAGAAAACAUUAGACAGGUUGAUGAAAAAUUUAGAUAAAAAUUUCUAUGACAAUAAUUGAUAUUUAUUUUCAAGAAAAAAGAAUAAAUUUUGAAAAUUAGAGAAUUAAACCAACAAACCUUUCCAUAAAACGUUAAAUAAAUCUGAUAAUGGAACUUCUUAAAAAAAAUGAUUGGAAUUCUUAAAUACUUUUGAGAUUAAGUAAAGUUUAUUUUUAAGAAUUCUACCUAAUAGAUGGAAAAAAAAACCUAAAAAAUUCUAUUUUAUAUUUCAAUAAUAAAUUAAAAAUAAAAAGAUCAUUUGUAUCAAGAUAAUUUUUAGGAUAAUUUAAAAUUAAUUGGUAUCAUUUUAUGAUGGUUGUUGUAAGAUGUUAAAAUUUUCCUCACACAUAAUCAAACUUUCAAAUUUAAUUUUGAUAAGUAAAUUAGAAUUUAUUCAUUUUAAAAACUCUUAGUUAGCUUAUGAUAUCUUUAAAAGAAUGGAGUAGUUAGGUAAUCAAUUGCAAUUAAAUAAAAAAAAAAUUAGUAACAUCUUCUGGAUCUGUAUCUAGCAAUUAAGUUUUUAGAUUUUUACGUUAUGACAUAUAAUAAUUUUUUUGAAUUUAUUGAUUGAUUAGUGUUUAAUGUUUCUAUUAGAAGAUGCAAUAAUUUUUUUUUUUUUGCAAACCCCUACAUUUGAUCUAAGUUAAAUACUAGUGAAAUUUAAUUAAAGGAACUAACUAUUAUAGAGAUUGAAACUAACCUUUCCAUUGUGCACCAAUAUCUCUUCUAAUUCCAUCAUUUUGUCAAUAAUCUCUGCUUUGUCAGAGUUCUUUUUUGUUCGUUGAUCCAAAAACAUUUCUUCUGUAGGUUUAACCUAAUAAUAGUGUAUGCACAAAGUUUAAUUUUCAUGGUUUCAUCCAAAUUCAAAUAGCAAAAAAAAAAAAGCUUUUAUAAUACACUCAACAUGAAUUUGCAUACAAUUAAAGGACUAUUAUUUAUUUGUUCGUGUCUUACCUCGGGAUGGACACAAUCAAUAUGUGCAAUAUAAGCGCAUUCUUCACAAAAAUAAAUAUCAUGUUCCGGAUUCCUUUCUGUCUCGCACAUAUCACAAUAAUAAUCUUCCGAAUCAUCUUCAACAAAUGAAUUUUUAAGCACAAGUGGAUGCAAGUGACGACGGUGUUCAACACUAGGCGGUAGUGGAAUGCACUCAACAUGUAUAUAGAAAUCACACUUUAUGCAACCGAAAAAGGAAUCAUCGCAAUCUUGAUGACAAGCAUUACAAGAUAUCUUACUGAGAAUGCUCUUCCCCAAAUGUAGAAGUUGGUGAGGAUGGCAAUCGUGCUUUAUAGCCCGAGUUUGGUACUUAGCACAUGAAACGUGCACGGUAACAUCACAUUGAUUACAGUAGAAGCCGAUACCUUUAACUUCCUCCUUACAAGCACUGCAUGUAUAAGAAGGACCCUUAGGGAUCGGUCGAGGGAAAAGAAUAUGUUGUGGAUGAAAUGGACUUUGAAGUACUUGUCUCGGCAUGUCAUUUACACACGAUUCAUGAAUGACAAAUCGACAAGGAAUGCAGGUAUAGAUUAGAGUAUCAUGGCGUUUUUGUUUGCAUGCCGAGCACUUGAACAUUUCUUUCCAUAAACUCAUAAAAAUAAUUUUUUCUUCCUUCGUCAAAAAAGAAAACUUGCUGCGAGUCAGUUGAUGAUUAUGGCUGAAAUGGUGAAUUCUUGUUUUAAUUUGCCUCCUUUCCUGCGGGGCCUUAUGAGUAGGCAGCUUACAAUCAUUUGAAAUAGCCAUAGCGCAUUUAACGUCAAGGUUGAACAUACAGUACAUACAGCUGUAACUGAUUAAACAUGCUUGCAGUAUUGCACAUUGGUCACACACAAUCAAGUUGAACACAGUGAAUCUUAGAGGGUGGGGGUGAAAAGCAUCUCUUCGUAUUUCAGGGGGCAAUUCAGCGCAUGAUUUGUGCAAAACAAAAUCGGGACAUGUUUCACAAAUAUAUGCCGGACCAGAAAUGAUAACCAAGCACGCAAAGCAGAUCACUGUAUCAUUCUCAUUGCCCACCUCUCUAAAGGUCAAGUUGUGAUUGUGAAGAAAAUGUUUAAAGUCCAUGUUAUGUUUACAGGACAAAGAAAAAAAGGGUAGAACAAUGAAAGAGUGAGGGGAUUAAUUGCAAGUUGAAGAGUUCUUGAACAAAGAAAAUUUGUUGCUUUUAACCUCUUUUCCUUCAACGACGAAUGCUUUUUAUUUAAUUUCCACACAUGACUUUGCGUAAAUCUUAGUUUAGGAAUCAGUCUAAAAUGCUUACGAUUGGAACAUAAAUUUGUUAAAAUUUUGCCUUUUCUAUCUAAUUUUGAGUGGUUGCUUAAGAAAAGUUGUAUUUGAUUGGGGUACAUUUGACCUAUAAUUCUUUUAUGAUAAUAAAGUACAAUUAGCUAAUUAUUAAAAAUAAUUUUAUAAGAGUUCAUUAUUUAUAAGCAUAGAAUCUACAUAAUAUUCUAAUGAAUUGUACACAUUUUUGAAUUACACUAAAUUAAUUAUAGUACAAUAAUAUUUAAAUUGAACCAUAAAAUGCACAAGCAAUAAAAAUAAACUCCAUCUAUUUAUCUAUCUAUGUAAAUAUUCAAUUUUCAUUAUACACCAACAUAGUUAUAUAAAAGGGUGUUAUUGCUAGUCAUGCUGCUAGCUCUAUCCCUUUGAAUAUUAAUAAAAUCUAUUUCUACAAAAAUAUAUAUAAAGGGGCUAACUAUCUAAUAUAGUUAUUAGUUACUAAUUAUUAAAAAAUUAACUUGUAAAUAUUUAUAAAAAUUAUGAAAUAAAAUUAAAUAUUUGAAUAGUAAUUACUUUCCGAAAAGAAAUAAAAUUCAUAUAAAGUUUUAUAUAUCUACAUUACACGCUAUACAUCAGCCAAUACAACUUUUUUUUUUUGGAGAAAAGGAAAAAGUUUGCAUAUGAUCAUUUUGCUAUAUGACAGGUAAGCACAUGAUUAGCCUUACACCAAACAAAUGUGUAGUUAGAAAAUGAUAAUGAUAAUGAAAUAAUGAGUAUAAAUUAAAGACUAUAAUUUGAAGGUAACAAUAACAACUUUAUACUAUUUAGCUUAUUUAUCAAGAAUCAUCUUGAAUAUUUGAUUCAAUGAUAUGUAUAUAUAUAUUUUUUCAGUUUAAUAAAUAAUUUUAAUUCUUUUUCUUCCAAAAAAAAAAAAAAAAGGUUUUCCACCAAGCGAAGCACAAAUUCCUGCCUUAGGCUAUUAGAGGCACUUUGCUUGACAAAUAGAACAACAAUUUGCAUAAAGAUAAUAGCUUCAAUCAAGGGAAAGUAACAUAUUCUAAAGAUCUAAUUAUUCUUUACUAUUGCUUUACUUAUAAAAUAUGUGAUUCUUAUUUCUAUACAAAGUGCAGGAAUCUUGUCCAACCAGGACCUUUGUUUAAGCGUACGGCUCAAUAGCUAAACUUUUGGGAGUAACAUAUAUUGGAUAAUUAGGAUACCCUUCCUCCACCAAUUUCUAAACAAACAGACUUACUCUUGGAAUGUUAAGAUAUUAAUCAACUUUUUAAUUUCCUCCCACAAAGUAAUAGUGCAAUCCUACAAAUUCAUCAUUUGUCAUAAUUGAAGGUAACCAAUUUUGUAUUAUGGAAUAAAUCAUUUCUUUUACGAUGCAAUGAAGUUUAAUCUUUGAAUUCUUCUUCUUCUUCUUCUUCUUCUUCUUCAAAAAGGGCAAAUUCCUGCCUUGACCUUUGAGCUAGCAGAGGUACUUUCCUUGACAUAUACAACAAAACAAUUCCCAUAAUUAAUAUAUCUAGAUCCCUUGCUUUUGAUUCCCUUUAACCUCUAGGUCUCUAGUCAAUGUUAAUCUAUAAAUUGCGCAUAACUUCAACCAAACGAAAAUGUGUUAUAUAUAUAUAUAUAUAUAUAUAUAUAUGUAUGUAUACAUAUUCUAAGGACCCAAUCAUUCUUUGAUGCCUCACUCAAGCAAGAUUCUUCUAAGCUCAUUGGAGCUGUAUUAAUUACCAAGUACAAAAUGUUGGUCUAAGAGAUGGAUCAAAUGUCAAAAAUUAGGAAGGACAUCAUGUGCAGGAAUCCAACGAUGCCUUCCAUCUACCAAUGCAAGCCCCCAAGCAUUUUCUUGAUCAAUCCCUUAUUAUUAUUUAACUAGGGGUGUGAUUCAAGGAUCUUAUUGACAAUUUGAGACCUAAAGCUUAUAUUUAUAAAUUUGAAGUUUAACUCAAUAAAUUUAUAAAGUUCAAAUUUUAAUAUUUACAAUUCCUUUCUUUAAGUUGUAGUAUCAUUUGUAAUAAAAAAAAAAAAAAUAAAAAAACCUUAUAUCUAUAAACGUUUCACAUAUCUAAUUUAUAUAAAAAUAUAUUUUUUUUAGUUUCAUCAACUCAUAGUUCACAUUAACUUGAAAAUGUAAAAUGUGCAUUUAAAAUUCUUAAUAUUACUAAAUAUUAAUUUCAUUUAUUAAUUUUUUUUAGUUUCUAUUAUAAAUUCUUAAUAUUAAGAUUAGGGAAGAAAAAAUGUGCAUUUAAAAUUAAUUUGUAUUUAACAAAUAUUACUAAAUAUUAAAAAAUGAAAAAUAUAUAUAUGUGGAUUGUCAAAGUUAAAAUCUACAAAAGUGUCUGGCAUUAAAGAUCAUUAAAAAGAUCCUAAUAAUUCAAAAACGAAAGCUGUUAUUAAUUAAAAAGUUGAAGGGAGCAAAUCCAUCGAUCAAUGAUAUUCUGUCUACUGUCUAGCCUUGGAAUGAAUUUCAUAUGCCUAUAAUCACUGAAAAUCAUCAACAGUUCAUCGAUGCAUCACCAAUCUCUUUCGUGCACCAGAAUAAUGGUAGUUAGGCUUCAGAAGAUGCAUGAUGAAUUAAAACUGACCAAUUUGAAUGCAAAAGCAGGAUGCAAAUUGGAGAUCAUUUACACAAUUCCUCUUCGCUAUUACCAUUGAAGCAUUGGUAAUUGACAUGUACAUGAACAUGUUACAAUAUUGAAGGCCACUAAAAGACCAUAAAAUUGUUUCAUAUUCCUCUCAUUACUCCUAAGUACUAAGCUAAAAUAUUAACUUACGGUUCACUGUCCGAGCUAACCAUGUAAUCUUAACACAGUGGUAUAACAAAAAUAAAAAUAUCCUGAGCUUUGUGCCCACAUCUGAUUAUGAGAUAAUAUGAUGCCUUCUUUUAAAAAAAAUGCAGGACAGUCCACAAGUUUCAUGGUAGGAGAAUAUACACUAACCUUUUCGUUUCACAUCUCUGCAAAAUUCACUUCCACAACAACACUGGAAUGCCUCUAUUGGGGGCUCAGGAUCAUUAAAGUCAAUCCCAUAGUCCCGCAAUAAUGUACAGCAUGGCUUAAUGCUUAAUAGUAAGGAAAUAACAUAUCUUCGCCAAAGUUCUAAACUGUCAAGCAGGCAUUUGUCUUAUUUUCAUAUCACAUGUUUAUGAGUACUUAAAGUCUUAAAAAAUGGACAACAACAGAUGAUAACUUUAAGUUUAGCAAAUAGCAACAUGAUAAACAUUUGUGAACCAUACAUUCCAAAUAAGUAAAUAAAAUAAAUGAAAAUUUUGUUUGUAGGCUAAUUUACCCAUGUUUGCUCUUCUGAAGCUCUCACAUCUCCGGUAGUAAAAAGGGCAAGCUGUUCAUACAAACACAAAAUAAAUAAAUAUAUUAACUCUUCAAAUGCAGUUUAGUAAUGAAGGUAAACACCAGCUUGCUUUGCUUCUACCCCCAUCAAUCGCAAAAGUUUGUUAUCAGUCCGAUUCAUGCAUGAUAAUAAUGGCGAUCAGGUCUCCACUUCAACUGGAAUGUCAAUCAAGUUUGCACCUUAAAAAUAAAAAACAUGUUGACCAUCAACCAUUGCCAGAAAAGUACAAAAUAAAAAUAAAAUAUUGAAGGGAAGGCAGAGUUUUACUGCACAGCAAAUUAAGAGGUUAUGAGAAAUCAUGAAAGACAGUUAAAAAGAAAACCAGCAUAUCAUUAUGCAACAGUUACAAAUGUUAAGUACAAGAAUCUACAACAACAUUAAGAAUUGUUGUUUCGGGAUAUAACAUAUGUUUCAAUUUCAGCAAUAGAACAAUAGUGUAUCAUUCAGAACCCAAAACAUAAAUUACGGCCAAGGUUAAAGAAUUCAGUUCUCCAAGUCAAUAUCAAUUUAAAAUGUCCCAACUACUAAUAAAGAAAACAUAUAUAGAAGGUUCUUGGCAAUAUGUCUCACAUAACAACUUGCGAGGCUAUUGCUACAAAAUAUAAAUGUGAGCAACAUUUAAAUUCUUUGAAACGAUUGCAACUUACGUAAAAAUGUAAGCUAUUCAAAUGAUGAAUGCCAUGACCACGCUAACACAAUUUAAUAGACAUUUCCGUUUCAUGACUUCAGCAUUUAAUACUUCAUCAAAGAGCAUGCUCCUUUACUUUCCAUCUAUUAUUUGUAAUGAGAGGUAUGAAUAUAUUUAGGCGCUCUUACUAUUCAUGAACGUUUAUGAUAUUACAAAAUGUACCAGGAUUUCCCCUGUUAAAAGGCAUCUAACAGUACCAAAAGAAAAAAACCAGGCCAAGAUUGCCAUAUAGUACUUGAGAACAUAUAUUUAUUUGGGCUCAAGAAAAUUACCUAUGAUUGAUAAACCUAGCAGCAUUUCCGUACAAGGUUGCAUCGAAACAAAGUGCCUCUUCAUCGUUUAAAACUUUCUCUGAGCCCCAGUCUGCAUCCAGUGUAACUGGAUAUGUAUGUCUCUCUCUGCCACUGCCUUUCACAUUCCGCUCAUAUGAGUCAGUGUUGGUCAAGAUCUCCCCAACAUACUCACAAACAAAGGUUCUUCCGGCAAGUCCUGGAGUGUCUUAAGACCCCAACCUUUUCUUUCAUGAGUCAAGAACACCUAAAGUCUAAAAGCAUAGUCAAUACCAAUACAGAAUCCUAACUUAUCAACAAAAGUAGACCAUGCAUGUAUUAUGUAAUAGAUGAAGCAACUGUGGAGUGAAUAGUGGUACGAUUAGUAGAAUUAGCAGAAAACCUAUAGUACCAUAUUUUCACAAUGUCUUUUAAAAUCACAUAUAAAUGUAUUUUAGUAAUAAAAAAGAAAUCAAUUAAUAGCUUUUCAGUAGCAAUAUUAAUGCUCCAUACCUUAAGGCGAUGUAAGACAUUAAGUUGUAUAUGAAAGGCAGCUUCUAAGAGCUAAAUUGAAGCCAUUUUGCAAAGUUGCAUUUCUACAAUUGAAAUAGAAAGGACAAUUGAAUACAACAAAAACGUCUCCACUUAGUGGAGAAGCAAAUUGCUGCUUAACAAACUGUAACAGCCUAACAAAACCCUAGAGAGCUUUACCUACAAUUUGCAUGCAAUACCUCUCUGUACUACUCGAUUUUCACAUUUUCUCCAGCAUUCUUUAAUGAAUUUCCUGACCAAAUGGUCCUUGCAUAUUUUAGGUUUAUACUCAUUUUUAGAACUCUCAAAUGGACAAUCCUGACAAUAAACAAAGUGAUGCCCACGAGGCUCAUGUUUCAUAGACAUACAGGCUCUUAGAAGAAUUAGAAAUUCUUCUCCUGGUUGACCUUCUGGUGUGUAAGCAAACUCUCCACCAGUUUCAUGAGCACAAGCACAUGGUAUUAGCAUUGAGAGACAGUCUCCCGAACGACCUGAACAGCGAUGCUCAUCUGCCACCGGAGCCAGUGAGAUGUGCACAUAAGCAUCUUGAUAUAUUACAUUGUCUCGCAUGUAAGUAAACUUUGGCAGAUACCAAUGAAAUUUGCACAAUUUCUUUACCAAUGAAAUUUGCACAAUUUCUGUGCCUUUGGUUAUAUCAGAAAUGAUAUAAAAAGGCCUUUACUCGACACAAGUAGCAGGUUGCUGCUGAACUUUGUUAUAUGAAUUUGAAAACCCAGAAGAACUGUAAUGCUUCUUAUUCAAAAACGUAAUUCCCUGUUGAAGGUUUAUCAUAGGCUUUUCAUUCUCUUCAGGAGAUAAUAUUUGGCUUGCGUUGCCCUUCGCAGAUGAAGACUGAUCUUCCAGCUCUUGCAUGCACAAUCUUUAAGACAAUCUGCUAAAUCCAUCAUGCUCCACAACAACAUUUUCCUUAUCCUCUACUCCCUGUAAAGGACAGAUUAACUACCCAUUAAGUGCAAAAGGAAAAAAAAGAGAUUCUUAAAAAUAAUUUGGAACAACUGCCACCAUAAUUAACGUAUUAGUAAAAGCUACCAUUGUCAUCAAUCAUUUCAUGCCGAACUGACAAUAGGAAAAAUAAAGAUAGGUCCACAAAAUAAAUAAACAGCUAAGGAGUGAAAUGGAACAGCGCAUUAAAAAUCGAAUAACACAAUAAAAUACUUUAUCUUCGUUGAGUUUAAAAUAUCCAUCUAUCAGUGCCUGGUAGUCUUCAGACUCUAUUAGUUCCCAGUUCUUAUUAAACACUUAAAAGAGGUGCUUCAGCUCUGGUUUCACCUCAUGAUCAGGAGUACCUAAAGCUCUUGUUCCAUUAAAGGUCAUGCGAGCUCUUUCAUUUAUAGCCAUCAGCAAGGAUUAAACGUAACAAAAAUCUUUAUUUUCUACUCGGCAACCACCCAAUUCCUUCUCCUUCAUAUAUACUCCUAUAGUCUUAAAUAUUUGUAGUCUGCAGCAGUUGAGGUUGUCAGAUUAACAAAGCAAAAACAAAGCUGCUUAAUUUGACCCAAAAUGAUCUGAAUCGGAUGAUCCGAACACGAAUAAUCCAAGUGUCAAACCAGAAAUUACCCACAUCCAAAAUGACACAAAAUUUUCUUCAAACCCAAGGUGAUUUAACCCAAACAUAACUUAAUCCGUCGAAUUUCCAGCUCUAAUCUCAAUCAAAUAAUGAAAUUUUAACAAACAUUGAACAGAUGGAGACCUCACCAGAUUCCAUAAUAUUUGAAUAAGUUGAAAAUAUACACAUAAAAGUAUCCACUUUCAUUUCAGUUUCCUUAUGAGCCAAAAUAAUUCUUUCCUUCAAUUGUUCACUAGCUCUAUUUGGUAUAUGGGGAAAUUUUUAAUCCAAAAUGGUAUUAUUAUAAAUAAGAACAUUUAGCAUGAAAAUUUUUUUCUUUCCUACUUUCCAUUCUUGCUACCAAGCAAAUCCUAGGAAAGGAAAGAUUUUUCUGACAGUUCAUUACUUAGUACAUAAGAAACCAAAUCAUCAAGUUCCAAAAUACUCCCAAAAAACCCUAUGAAAAAGAAAAGAAAAGACAAAUAUUUUAACUCUGUUUUUUUAAACAAUCAAGUAUUUCAAACCUGAAUGAACAUCAAAAAGAUGGAAAUAAACAAUCUUUGAUCACAUUGCUAACAACAUACACAUAACAUGUAAAAACCAAAAUUACCAAAACGAACAGACUUUUCCUGCUUGGUUACCAGGAAAAUGCAGGGAAAAGAAAAAAAAAAAAAGGAUUGCAGCUUUAGACAUUAGAGUACCCCCCGAGUCCAUGUUUUUCAUAGUCCCAUUAUGACAAAACAAAUCCUUUAAUAAAACUAUCAUAGUAAUAACGAUGACGAAUAAGAGUAAAACUGAAAGAAGAACAAAAGUCACACAAAGCAGAGAAACAACCUUCUUGAAAAUUGGGUUUUUCUUUUUUUUUUUUUUAAGAGAAUGCAAGAAUACAUAAAUCACAAAUGUUUGAGAGUAUAAAACAGAAUCACAUGAAAAGGAUGUUUUGAUUUCUUCCUGAACAUGAGUAUUUGUUUUCUUUAGCAGGUCUUUUUGUCUUUUUUUUUUUAUUUGACCGAGUUUUAUUAUUAAAUUUUAAUUUUUAAUUGAAUUUUAUUAUUAAACUUCGAUUUUGGAUAUUUUAAGAUAAAGUUUAACAACAAAAUAUAUUCCUCCAAAAUAUUUUUUUAAUAAUUAAUAAAAAUUAAUUAAUUAAUAAAAACUAUAAAAAUUAAAAAAAACAACAAUUUUUAUUUUAUAAAAAAUUAAAGCUUAAAUUUUGUAGUGUUUUAGAUAUUUUUCAAGCCAUUCGUGACUAAUAAUGGGAUCUGCAGUGAUGCUUUAAGGUCAAUUUUGACCAUUAAGCAUCAAAUCUUACAUAUUGCUUCUACAAUCUUAUUUUUUAAAAUGUGUUUUUUAUGUCAAUAUUUUUUUAAAAAAAUUAACAAAAAUAAAAUAUUUUAUAGAAUAUUUUAUUCUUAUCUAUUAAAAAAUUUACAAAAUAAAAAUGAUGUGACAAGAAAAAAAUGCAAAAUAUUUCAUAAAAUAUUUUGUAUGUAUCAAAAUAAAAAUUUUAAAUAUAUAAAAAAAUAAUAUGACAAAAAAGAAAAAAAAUCCCAAAAAAGGUUUUAAAAAUGACAUUGUGAAAAAAAAAAUGUUAAAUUUAACGAGCAACUAUUAAAUUUAACCUUAGAGCAUCAUUGUUUUUGGAGAUCAUGACUUGGUGGCUUGACUGUAACUUGUAUUCAUCUUCUUCUUAAUAAAAUUCUGUUUUAAUUAAAAAAAAAAAAAACAUUGGAGCAUCUUACUGUUUUAUGGCAUCAUCAAUCACCAGCUACUUGAAUAAUAAAAGAAAGACCAAAAAGAUUUUUUUUUUUUAAAAAAGGAAAAUUUAAGCACUAUUUUUUUGUAAAAUAAAAAUUCUAUGUCAAAAUUUUUAUUUUUUAAAUAUUUUAAUUGAUUAAUUAUUUUUAAUUAUUAAAAAGAUAUUUUGAAGGAAUUUUUUUGUUAAUUUUUGUCGUAAAAUCAUUCAAAAUCAAAAUUUAUUGGUAAAAUUCAAUCAAAUUGAAAUAAAGGGGCAAAAUUCAACAUUGAGAUUAGAAUAUAAGAACGAAUUUGUCAUUAAUCCCUACUUUUUCCUGUUUUUUUUUUUUAAAUUUUUGGGUGAACGAUUUCUUCUACUUUUAUCAAAGGUGAAAUCUUGUAGAUACCAUCCCAUUUUAUGAUGGGUCAAUAGAGUUUAAGUCAGUCCGAGUCAUUUGAUUCAAUUUUUAAAACUUUUUUUUUUUUUGUAUGGUUGGAUUUUUUUGGUGGUGGGUGAUUGAUGAAGCAUUCAAUUGGUUGGAUUCAAUUUUAUAAUGGAUUUUGGUAAUGGACUGAUCAAAGUGGAUCAAGCCUUUCUACAAUCAAAAAUUCAAAACAUACAUUAAAAUAAUGAAAUUCAGGUAGAAUUUGUGUGGCAUGGACAUAAUAAUACACAAAUUUUCUUUUGCAAAAAUUCCUCUCUACCUUCACCAAAUUUAACCACCAUUCCCAAAAUCUGAUUUCUUUUCAAAAGAAAAAAAAAAUUAAGGCUUGGUUCCUUCUGAUCUUUCUUCAACAAUCUUCAACUAAUUCACUGUAUAAUAAAACAAUAAAUAUGUUGUAAGUGAUGGAAGAAAGAAAAAAUAAAAAAUGCAGUUACUUGAUCAUUGGAGAAGUAAGAAAAAUGAAGUGCACACAGUUAUUUAACAUUGAGAAAAGAAAUUUCUAUAAUAUCGAUUAGUUUUAAAAUAUUUAAAAUCAAUUCCUAAACUUAAAUACCUUAAAACUAUUUUUUAUUUUAUUUUUUAAAAUUUUAAAUAUUUUUAAUUGAAUUGCUAUCACUUGUGACAUCAAUUCAGUAAUGGAUUAAAAUAUUAUAAAUAUAAACACCAUAAACUUGAUAAUGGUAGAUUGAUAAACUGGGGUCUCAUCUAGAGAUAUCCAAUAUUGAAAAUUGAACUCGUUGAACAGAAAUUCUUUUCUUUUUCUUACAAAACACAGCGUAGAAGGAAAGAAUUUGUGUUCAACGAGUCCAAUUUUUAAUAUUGGAUAUCCUAUCAAUUUUUUUUUUUAAAUAAAGGAGAAGGAGAGAAUAAAGGAAAGAAAUGUUUAAACUUUAGAUGUAUCAUAUAUCAUUGUUAAUUUGGUGAGUCAUAUUCAAGGAACAUUGCUUUUCCCUAAAGCAUAAAAUUACUAAUAAUUAAUAUUGCUUUAACAAUUUUGCGUAUUUUUUAGACGUUAAACAAUUCAAUUAUCUGUGUUGGGAGCUAUGCUGAGCAUCUAGUCUAGCUUGUCUCGACGGCCAAUAUAAAAAAAUGCUUUUUUAAUAAAUUUACAAGUAAAAGAAAAAUUAUAAUUAUUAUCAAGUACUACAAAAUUAUAAAUACAAGAAAAAUUAUAACAAUAAUAAUCAAGAUUUAUAUUUAUGUAUAAAAAAUUAUUGAAUAAUUAAUCAAAUAAAUUGAAAUAUAACUAAAUAAAUUUAAUAUAAAAUUAAAUCAAAUCCACACAUAAUAAAAUUUUCAAUUUAAGAUAUCAGAAUUGUAAGGUGUCCUCUUUAUCACUAAAAUAAAAAAAAAAAUAUGUUUAUAUAUAUAUAUAUAUAUAUACCUAAUUUUUUUAUAAAAAAGUCAUAAUUUGUAUAUAAAAAAAUUUUAAAUAUAAAAUAUAAUAAAUAAUAAUUCUUAAAAUAAUUACAUAAAUCAAUUAAAUUAAACUAACUUAAUUCAUAAAUUUAUGUUUUAGGGAAUUCUAUUUUUUAAGUCGUCCACUUGUGAGUUUUAUAAUAUUUAAUUAUAAUUGUAUUACUAUAAUAUAAGUGGUAUAUGGCAUCACAAUUUUUUAUCACCUGGUUUCUCCAAAUUAACGUUGUUAUUAGUUACAGAAAAUGGCAAGUUAUAUAUAAUAAGAUUUUGUAAGGAGUGUUUUUACGGUGUUUUCUAAAAUUAUUAUAAUAAGUAAAUUUUUUUUGGUCAAUAAAUAAAUAUUUUUACUAAAUUUAAAAUUAUAUAUUAAUUAUUGACUAUUUAAUUUACUAAAAAAUAUUAUUAUAAAUAAAAUUUCAAUUAAUAAAAUGAAAUUUAAUAAAGAGAUGUAGGCACAAAAUCCUGCAACGCUUUCUUCUUCAAAAUUUUGGUAAUUAAGGUUGCUAAAAAGUCAAUGUUAAACAUUGACUUUGCUCAUCUUUUCUGCCUCAAUCAAAACGGUGAAAUUGUGGUGAAGGCUACCAUUUUAUUAUUAUUGCUACCCCAAAUUAAUAAGGGUGUUAUCAUGAAUUAAUCAAAUUGAGACUUUCUUUUAUUAGAACUAAUAAAACUCCAUAUAGUUAUUAUUUUUAUUUUUAAUAAAAAAUAAAGAACAGAAAUAGAAAAUAAACUAAAAAAAAAAAAAUCUUGUCAAUUGAACGAAGUCUAAGAGAUUCUGCAUAUAAUAAGUGAAAUUAUUUGUCACACAUUUCUUGGCAGGUGGUAGAAAAUGCCUGUUGCUUUUCAUUUUAUUUUUUGGUAAGAUUUAAAUAAUUUAUUCAAACUUAUUUGAUUUAGGUACUCUAAAUAGGACCAAAUAAGUGAUAAGAUAAAUAUUUAACCAUUAUUUGAUGUGUAAUAUAUAUUACAAGCAGAACUUAAAAAUCAAUUUCCCAUUUAAUUAUUCAAGAACAUUGAUGUCUAUCGAUGUCUUAUAUUGUGAACAUUUUGUGGGAGGAACAAUUUGCUCAAACAAAUCAAAUUAUAAUAGCUUUAUUUAAAUCAUUACUUUAUUUGCCAAAUACCAUACCCAUAUAUACAUAUUUUUCAUUGUGUACAGUACACUUANNNNNNNNNNNNNNNNNNNNNNNNNNNNNNNNNNNNNNNNNNNNNNNNNNNNNNNNNNNNNNNNNNNNNNNNNNNNNNNNNNNNNNNNNNNNNNNNNNNNNNNNNNNNNNNNNNNNNNNNNNNNNNNNNNNNNNNNNNNNNNNNNNNNNNNNNNNNNNNNNNNNNNNNNNNNNNNNNNNNNNNNNNNNNNNNNNNNNNNNNNNNNNNNNNNNNNNNNNNNNNNNNNNNNNNNNNNNNNNNNNNNNNNNNNNNNNNNNNNNNNNNNNNNNNNNNNNNNNNNNNNNNNNNNNNNNNNNNNNNNNNNNNNNNNNNNNNNNNNNNNNNNNNNNNNNNNNNNNNNNNNNNNNNNNNNNNNNNNNNNNNNNNNNNNNNNNNNNNNNNNNNNNNNNNNNNNNNNNNNNNNNNNNNNNNNNNNNNNNNNNNNNNNNNNNNNNNNNNNNNNNNNNNNNNNNNNNNNNNNNNNNNNNNNNNNNNNNNNNNNNNNNNNNNNNNNNNNNNNNNNNNNNNNNNNNNNNNNNNNNNNNNNNNNNNNNNNNNNNNNNNNNNNNNNNNNNNNNNNNNNNNNNNNNNNNNNNNNNNNNNNNNNNNNNNNNNNNNNNNNNNNNNNNNNNNNNNNNNNNNNNNNNNNNNNNNNNNNNNNNNNNNNNNNNNNNNNNNNNNNNNNNNNNNNNNNNNNNNNNNNNNNNNNNNNNNNNNNNNNNNNNNNNNNNNNNNNNNNNNNNNNNNNNNNNNNNNNNNNNNNNNNNNNNNNNNNNNNNNNNNNNNNNNNNNNNNNNNNNNNNNNNNNNNNNNNNNNNNNNNNNNNNNNNNNNNNNNNNNNNNNNNNNNNNNNNNNNNNNNNNNNNNNNNNNNNNNNNNNNNNNNNNNNNNNNNNNNNNNNNNNNNNNNNNNNNNNNNNNNNNNNNNNNNNNNNNNNNNNNNNNNNNNNNNNNNNNNNNNNNNNNNNNNNNNNNNNNNNNNNNNNNNNNNNNNNNNNNNNNNNNNNNNNNNNNNNNNNNNNCUGCUUUCCUUUUCCCCAGUACUGUCUCAUCAUGAGUACUGUGAGCAGCGCAUGAGACAUCAAUUUCCAAAUUGCAAUCAUUGCAAUGAUAUCUGUGGCCUCGAGAGAGAGUGAAACAUUUGUCGCAGAUGAAAUCGAUGACAUCGAAGUACAGGGUAAGGGGGUGUUGGGAAUGGAAAGAGUGUGAAAUCUGAGGAGGCAGUUGCUGUUCAGCACAAGCUGAGUGCAGCCAGAAGUUGCAGGUUUCACAAUUAUAAGCCCACCGAUCAAUUUUCUGAUUGCAUUUAUCACAACUUGCGUCUUGAUUGUUGUAAUGAUCAAACAACAAGUAGUGUUUAUGUAGGAAAGGUUUGAUGUCCAUGUCUAUUUCUCAAAACAAAGAGAUUGCUAGAAAGAUAAGAGCAAAGAGGAAUUGGGACAACUACAAGGGAUGGACGCAAUUGAAGGUAAUUCUUAUGGGUGAGCCAAAGGAUAUAUGCGGGCUGCAUGUAUAGUAGUCCUUUAAUUUAUUGAAAGACAUAGAAUAUAAUAAAACUUGAGCGUUUUGUCUAGAGUUUAAAAUGAAAUAAUACAACAAUUUACACUUGUGCUAGAUAAUAAUAGUAACUGCUUUAAGAGAUGUAAGGUCUAGAAUUUUUUUUAAUUCUUUUUUUUUUUCAAGAUUUUGUUCGGGAAUUGUUCACUUUUAAUUUAUAUAAAAAAUUAACAAUAAAUUUAUCAAUUUUAUCAAUAAAUAAAGUUUUUUAAAAAUUUUUUUGAGGGUGUUCAAAGAAUUUUUUUUUCAAAUAUUCUUAUUUUUUAAUUUUUAGUUGUACAUAAACACCUUAUCUUUACUUCUGCAUCCUCCUUUGCUUUUUCAUUGACCAAUUGUCAAAAAAAAAAAAUGUAAGUUAUAUUACAUAUAUAGAACAACGAUUUCUUGAGUGAUGGAAACAUGUAGGCUAUAUACUAGUUCUAUGCACACCUAGAAUAUGGGUAAAUGUUAAUUUAUUAUUAAGAUAAAUUUUAUAAAGAAAAAAAUUAAAAAAUGCAAUUACUUGAACAUUGGAGAAGUAAGAAAAAAGAAAUGCACACAGUUAUUUAACAUUGAGAAAAAAAAAGCUAUAAUAUCGAUUAGUUUUAAAAUAUUUAAAAUCAAUUCCUAAACUUAAAUACCUUAAAACUAUUUUUUAUUUUAUUUUUUAAAAUUUUAAAUAUUUUUAAUUGAAUUGCUAUCACUUGUGACAUCAAUUCAGUCAUGGAUUAAAAUAUUAUAAAUAUAAACACUAUAAACUUGAUAAUGGUAGAUUAAUAAACUGGGUCUCAUCUAGAGAUAUCCAAUAUUGAAAAUUGGACUCGUUGAAUAGAAAUUCCUUUCUUUCUCUUACAAAACACAGCGUAGAAGGAAAGAAUUUGUGUUCAACGAGUCCAAUUUUAAUAUUGGAUAUAUUAUCAAUUUUUUUUUUUUGGAAAGAAAGGAAAGGAGAGAAUAAAGGAAGGAAAUGUUUAAACUUUAGAUACAUCACAUAUCAUUGUUAAUUUGGUGAGCCAUAUUCAAGAAACAUUGCUUUUCCAUAAAGCGUAAAAUUACUGAUAAUUAAUAUUGCUUUAACAAUUUUGUAUAUUUUUUAGAUGUUAAACAAUUCAAUUAUCUGUGUUAGGAGCCGUGCUGAGCAUCCAGUCUAGCUUGUCUCCACGGCCAAUAUAAAAAAAAUGUGUUUUUAAUAAAAUUACUAGUAAAAAAAUUAUAAUUAUUAUCAAGUAUUAUAAAAUUAUAAAUACAAAAAAUUAUAAUAAUAAUCAAGUAUUAUAUUUAUAUAUAAAAAAUCAUUGAAUAAUUAAACAAAUAAAUUAAAAUAUAACUAGACAAAUUUAACAUAAAAUUAAAUCAAAUUCACACAUAAUAAAACUUAAACUUAAGAUUUCAAAAUUAUAAGAUGUCUUCUUUAUCACUAAAAUAAGGAAAAUAUAUGUUUAUAUAUAUUUAUUUAUUUAUGUAAACCUAUUUUUUUUAUAAAAACAAGUCAUAAUUGUGGAUAAAAAAAUAUAAAUAUUAAAAAUUAAAUCUAAAAUAUAAUGAAUAAUAAUUCUUAAAAUAAUUAUAUGAAUCAAUUAAGCUAAAUUAAUUGAAUUCAUUAUUUAUGUUUUAUUGAAUUCUAUUUUUUAAGUCAUCCACUUGUGAAUUUUAUAAUAUUUAAUUGUAAUUUUAUUACUGUAAUCUAGCUGGUAUGUGGCAGCACGAUUUUUUUAUCACUUGGUUUCUCAAAAUUAACGUUGUUGUCCACCGGUUAAUGUUAUUAGUUACAGAAAAUGACAAAUUAUAAUGUUAUAUAUAAUAAGUUUUUGUAAGGAGAGUUUUUACGAUGUUGUCUAAAAUUAUUCUAGUAAGUAAAAUUUUUUUGUCAAUAAAUAAAUAUUUUUACUAAAAUUUAAAAAAUAUAUUAAUUAUUGACUAUAUAAUUUACUAAAAAUAAUAUUAUAAAUAAAUUUCAAUUAAUAAUGUCAUAACGUCUAGAUCCGGGAUCUAUCGCUAGACAUUGACUUAAGGGAGUCGCCACCAAUCUUUUUUAUCUAGGUGUGAUUGGCCACCUAAGGAAUCUGUCCUUUUAGGAACACCUAAGUUUAAGGGUCCCUAAAAGAAUAGGUUCAGGUCUACUAACCAGAACAGAGUUCGGGAGUUCGGUUACGUGUGAGGAAGGUUAUAGCACCCCCACAACGCCCAUCAAAAGAUGGUACCAGCUUAAAUUUGUGUUAUCCGAAAGCCUUAAAAUUUUACCAAGUAAUUAAUUAUUGGAAAUUUUUCUCAAUUGACUCUAAUACUUUUAGCAGAAAAUUGAGAAAAUUCCCUCACCUCAAGAGUAUGGCAAGAAAAACUACUGUUUCACUUACGAGGCUCCGUACGUCGGAUUAUUUAAAGAAAAAAACAAAAUCAAAAUUAAGAUAGAAAGGAAGGAAAGAAUGAUUUUUUUUGUAGGAAAAAUUGAUACUUUCAACUUUUCCCCAAAAAUAUUUUUUUUGGAAAUUUAUUUUUCUUUUAAGGAAAAUUGAUACUUUCAACUUUUCCCUAAAAAUAUUUUUUUGGAAAUUUAUUCUUAAAGAAAAUUGAUACUUUCAACUUUUCCCCAAAAAUGUUUUUUUGAAAUUUUAUUUUUAAGGAAAAUUGAUACUUUCAACUUUUUCCUAAAAAUCUUUUUUUUUUGAAAUUUUGUUUUUAAGGAAAAUUGAUACUUUCAACUUUUCCCCAAAAAUGUUUUUUUGAAAUUUUAUUUUUAAGGAAAAUUGAUACUUUCAACUUUUCCCUAAAAAUAUUUUUUUUGGAACUUUUGAUUUUUUAUUUAAAGAAAAAUAGAAUAAUAAAAUAAAUAAAAAAGAAAAGUAAAACAAAAAUAAAAAUAAAAUAAAGAUAAAAAGAAUAUUAAAUAAACCUAAUCUAAUAAAUAAAAAUAAUAAUAAAUAAAAAAACAAAUAAAAAAAUUCAAAAAAAAAAAAAAACUGGAGCCGCUCGGCUAUCGGCUCGGCUCAAGGAAGAAAAAACGGCUCAGGGGAGCGGCUUGGAGGUUCGGCUCGGCUUGGAGGAGGGCUGGCACGCGCCGGUCAGAAAGCGGGUCGACGCCCGGGUCGGUCGGGUUCGGCAAAAUGCGCGGAUCCUCUGGGUUACUUAAGGCCAAAACGACGUCGUUUUGGGAGGGUAUAAAAGGCAAUCCCCUUCGUUUUUUCGGCAGAACGCUCCUCCCUCUCUCUCUCUUCUUCCCUUUUUCUCUCCCUUCUCUCUAAAACCGAAGAACACCGGUGCCGGAUUCUGGAAAAUAUCGCCGGAAUCUGGAAAUUUCGUCGGAAGUUGGCCGGAAGAUUGCCGGUUUCUGGGAUUCUUCGUCGGAAACUGGGCUGGUCGCCGAAAACUUCAAUGUUCGCCGGAAUUGUUGCCGGAAAAUUCAAAUUUCGCCGGAAUUUUCGCCGGAAUCUGGAAAUUUCUGGGAAAUUUCCAGAAAAAUUUUUCGCCAAAAAUUUCUAAAAAAUUUUUCCUACUCCCAGAACACUCCUAAACUUUUCCUAGCUUCCUAAUAACACCUCCUUUUCUCUCAAAUCAGUAGCUUUGCUUACUGUUUUCUGUGUGUUUUCAUUAUGUUCCAGGAGGUGCUUUAUAUAGGGAUUGAUCAGGAGUUUUUGAUCAAUCCCAAUUCCCCUUUGGACGGGAAUUCAAUCUUUGAAUCCAGUCUGGACUCUUCUGAUUGAAUUCCCACUCCCAGUGGGAUUCUUCAACUUUCAAUCCUAGCCCUCCAAAAUAAAAAUCAAAAAUAAAAAAAAAACUAGAUAAUUAGAGAAGAUAAAUCAGCAGAUAUUAUAGGAUAAAUAAUAAUAAUAAAAAAUAUAUCAGAUAUAUAAUUAGAUAAGUAAAAAUACAAAAAUGAAUAAAAUAAAAAGAUAAAAUAUAUAUAUAUACAUAAAUAAUAAAAUACACAUAAAUAUUAACAAAAAUAAAUAAAUAAAUAUAUACAUAUAUUAAUACAUAAUAAUAAUAAUAAAUAAUACAAUACAUAAAAUACAAAAGAAGAAGAAAAGAGAAAAAAAAAUACAAGAUAAAAUUGAAUUGGGCUUACCCAUUUGGGCCAGGCCCAAUUGAUCUGGGCCGGACCCAAUUGGGUGUCUACAAAUAAAAUGAAAUAUAAUAAAGAGAUGUAGGCACCAAAUCCUCCAAAGCCUUUUUCUUUAAAAAUUUGGUAAUUAAGGUCGCUAAAACGUCAAUUAACGUUAAACAUUGACUUUGCUCAUCUUUUCUGCCUCAAUCAAAAGGGUGAAAAUGUGGGCAAGGCUACCAUUUCAUUAAUAUUAUUGCUACCAUAAAUUAACAAGGUGUUGUCAUGAAUUAAUCAUAUUGAGACUUUCUUUUUACUAGAACUAAUAAAACUCCAUUUAGUUAUCAUUUUUAUUUUUAAUAAAAAAUAAAGAACAGAAAUAGAAAAUAAACUAAAAAAAAUUCUCGUCAAUUAAACAAAGUGUAAGAGAUUCUGUAUAUAAUAAGUGAAAUUAUUUCUUACACAUUUUUCACUUUAUUUUCUAGUCUUUACUGUUUAUGGAAUGCUUUAUAUGAUUUAUUUCCACCAGUCUUAUAAUUUGUAUUUGUGGAAACUGAUAGCAUUGAGGUCCUGAACAAGUUGUGCUCUGAUCUAUUGGGUUAUUUUUUCCUAUUUUAUAAGAGAAAAACUGUUCUGAUUCUUUAUUGGAAGAUUGAAAAUUCUAAACCCUCCAAGUACAUUGUCUAUAGAAUGUAUUAUAAGCUCUUGUUCAGUAUUUAAUGUAGAAUCUGUUAUUGUUAUACCAUCUUUGUGUUGGGCUAAAAGCUUCAAAUCCAAUCACAUUAGCGGAAGUGAAAUCAAACAAUAAAUCAAACAUACAAAAGACAACAAUUUAAGGUGGUUCGGCUCAAUCAACCUAUAUCCACGGAUGAGAAACAAGAUCCAUUAGUUGUAGAAAAUUACAAACAUACAUCAAAUCAUCAACCUCACUCAACAAUCGAUACUCAUAAAACACUCUCAAUCUUCUCUAGUCCUAUGAAGUAUUCUCAACCUAAAUAAACACAAACCCAAACCCUUGUGCACCCUUUCAAUAUAACCAAACACAUGCUCCCAUACAUCAUACCUAUGUGAACUCUCUCAAUCUCCUUUAGUCCACUCACAAACAAACAUACGCACCACUUGUUGGGGAACACCACAGCUCUGAUACCAUUUGUUAGGCUAAAAGACUCCAAUCCAAUUACAUUAGCGGAAGCGAAAUCAAACACACAAGAGAAGAUGAUUGUGAGACUUUUAUUGCAGGUGGAGCCAAGCAUGUCUAGCAUAAAGAUAGAUGAUUGAUGGAAUUUGAGUGAAGGUGGAGAUUGUUGGGAAUAUUGACUCAAAUCCCAUAAGAGAUUUGUUAGAUAUUGCUUGAUGGACAAGAAGACUUGCAAAGGAAGAAUUCUAAAAGAAAGAUGAUUCUUAAUAGGUAAGUUUGACUUGCAAGAAAAGAAUUCUAAAAGGAAAAGAAUUCUUAAUAGGCAAGUUUGACUUACAAGAGAAGAAUUCUAAGAGGAAAGGGAUUUUUAAUGGGCAAGUUUGUAUGGUUAUAAAUAGGUGAAGUCUCUACAGGGUUAAAUAUGAGAAAAAGAUGUAAGAGAGUUGUAGAGUUUUGUGGGAUAGACAUCCCAUAGGAGUAUUGGGGCUCUACGUCUUAUGGGUGUGUAUGUUUGUUUGUGAGUGGAUUAGAGGAAAUUGAGAGGGUCCACAUAGGUAUGAUGUAUGGGAGCAUAUGGGUAUGUGUUUGGUUAUAUUGAAAGGGUGCACAAAUCUCUUAUGGGAUUUGAGUCAAUAUUCUCAACAAUCUCCACCUUGACUCAAAUUUCAUCAAUCAUCUAUUUUCAUGCUAGACAUGCUUGGCUCCACCUACAAUAAAAAUCUCACAAUAAUCUUCUCUUAUGUGUUUGAUUUAUUAUUUGAUUUUGCUUCCGCUGAUGUGAUUAGAUUGGAGGCUUUUAGCCCAACACUUUGAUGUGAUUUGAUUCGAGUUAAGUAGUAAGGAGAGAGUUAGAGGUAGGCUGAAAAUUGCGUUGGCAGUGGUAAUAAGAAAAAAAAAGUGCAUAUUCACUUGUUUUAGAAAUGGAUUCAUGCAUGAAUGCACUAUAUAGAGUUGUCUAGCUGCAGCACGAUAAAAGUUUUUGAUUCAUAGAAUUUCACUACAUAAUUUUCUUUGAAUUCGAUUGCUGUAGGAUAUAAAUGUUAGUAAGUCUUGUAUUGUUAUAAAUAUAUUUAGAAUGAGUUCUCUUACUAUAUUCAAUCAUGUUUUUCACCGCAUAACCAGUUUUAAUUCAAUGUUUCAAUUGCAAAAGAAAAUGUAAAAGCAAAGUGGAUCAUGAUUCCGACGGAAUGAUUCAUUGGAAUUGAAGAAUCUGCAAAGCAUUUUUAAUAUGAGCACUUUUAGCCUCUUAUGGGAAUUUAAUGUGUUGUAGAACACCAUAUGUCAUGAUAGAAAGAACUUAUUUUCCCUCCUUUUUAGUUUUUAAUUUUUCGUUCGAUUAUAUUAAGAUUCUACUCUUUUUUUUUUUUGGUAUCAGAAAUGGCAUUGAAAGCAUCCAAAAAAUAUGUGAAGGAGAUAUUAGAACUAUUCAAACAAGGUACACCGGAACUUGUUCUUACUGGGAAUGCCAGAACAGGGAAAAUAUAUAUGUCAAGAGCAAUAAGCGAGUCUGCAAUCAAGGAAGGCUACUGCUAUAGGACUACAAAAUUUUUGACUUUCAAAUAAAAAUUAUAUAUGGAAUACAAAAUUUUGAAACAAAAUUGAUGAUGCACAUAACAUGCUUAUAAAAAUUAAUUAAAACAAAUCAUUGUCACGAAUGCAUGACCGAAAAUUAAAUAGCAAAAGUAUCAUACUUCAUGGAAAGUUUCCAAUAAUUAAAUGGAGGAAAUCAUUUUACUUGGAAUUAGUUGUUUGUUUCCGGAGAAAAAAAAACCAGGUGAUUUUAUAAAAUUUACAGGAAAAACUUUUUCUUUUUUCAAAUUAAAUUUACAAGAAAACUUAAGUCCUUAUUAUUACUUAGAAUCCUAAUAAAAUUGCCUCACAUACAUGCCAUGCCAUUACCAAGGGCCAUAUAAAUGUAACAUAUAUUGUAAUUUCCAAGCAUACCGUCCAAAAAGCCUAUUAAUCUCUUUGGUAUAUAAUAUUAGUUCGAUGGACUUAUAUAUAAAACCACCUUUUAUGCUAUAUUUCUUUUCAAAUAAUAUAUAUAUAUAUAUUUAUAUGUAUAUAUAGAAGAAUAAAAAGAACUCAUCAAAGAAAUCUAUUAAUUAUGUGAUUCAAUAAAUAUAUUGAUUAUGUAUAUAUAUGGAAGAGAAAAUUAUUUACUUUCAGACCUUAAAUUUGUACAUUUCAAUAAAUAUAUAUUGAUUUUGUAUAUAUAUUGAUUAUGAAUCCUUUCAUCAUCAUCAUCAUCAUCAUCAUCAUCGAUUUAGUUAUUCUUCUUAACCAGUUUUUGUGUCUUUGCAUAUAUAUGCUACGUAUAAAGAUUGCAUUUCAUAAUUUUAUCUUAAGUUGAAAUAAUUUGACUAGAAUUGGUUUUUAAUAAAGAGAAACUUCUUCAAAGAGUACUAAAGCUUAAGUCAAAUGAAGAGAAUUUAAUUAGUAAUUAAAAUUACAUGGCAAAGCCAGGGUUCUUAUAGAAUAAGCUUACUUACAAAUAUUCAAAGCCUUUCAUGGAAUGUUUCUUAGAAAGGCUUUAGCAUUUCUUUCAAGACCUCAUCUUCCGCUUGAGAAUCUCUCGUAAUUUGUCAGCCUUCUCUUUCUCUUUCCUUGGACGAGGCACCAAAUAUUUAGAUAUCUCUUCAGGCGGUUCAACCUUAAUAAAAGUAAAUAGCAGCAAAAAAUGCUUCUUUAAUUUCAAAAUAAUGAUGUAACAAUUUUAUAAUAUAAUGAAAUAUAUAGAGCCAUGAAAAUUGAAUUCAACAAACUAAAUAAAAUUGGCUUGUUAUUUAACGAAAGUUAGUAAUAUAUAUCAUUUCAAGGUUUUCUAUAUAUGAAGAUUAUUGCUUACUUCUAAUUAAUUAACUAGUAUUCGAAUAGUUCCACGUACCACUAAAUUCACACAAUUAAUAAUCGCAAUAUAGGUGCCAUUCUUUGCAGUAAUAAACAUCAUGCUCUGGAUUUUCUUCUGUUUCACAAUAUCACAAUAGUAUAUUCCAGAAUGUCUUCCCACAACAGAGUUUGAAGUGUGAUGAGUAAAUGACCAUAUGUUUGAUGAUAUAUGGUAGGCUGAAUCACAUUCAAGAUGUAUGUGAAUUCACAUUUCAUGACAGCCCAAAAAAGGUGUUGUUACAAUCUUUCGCGACAUUCAGCACAUGGAGGAGAUCUUUUAACGAAAAUGCUUUUCCCCAAAUGUAGAAGAUGUUGAACAUGGCAAUUGUGCUUUAUCAUACGAGUUUGGUACUUAGCGCAUGAAUAGUGCAUGUACAAAUUGCAUUCAUAACAACCGAACAUGAUGCAAUCAAUUCUGUCGUGACAAGCCUUGCAUGUAGGAUUAUCCAUCACAGUCCUGAGUGGAAAUGGGAGAAGAGGAUGUUGUGGGUGAAAUGGACUCUCAACUUCUAUCAGCAUGUCCUUAAGAUAGGAUUCAUGAAUAAAGAAUUCACAAACAAGACAAGUAUAAACUAGAUCAUGCAGGUCUUGUCUACAUGCUAUGGAAGACUGAUGAAUCUCCGUUUGCAAUCUAUUAAUCCUGCAACGAGUUAGCUGAUGAUUGUGGCUGAAAUGGUAGACUGAGAUUUGAAUUUCCUUCCCUUUAAGGGCCUCAUGUUUAGCAAGAUCGUCAUUUAAAGUAGCGCAUUUGAUAUCAAGACUGAACAAACAUAGGCUACAGUUGUAAGAUAAACCGCAACAGAGUUUUCCACAUCCGUUACAUAUAAAUAUAGCCUCUAGAUCAUUGAGUGUCGGCGGCUGAGGAUGAAAAGCAUCUUUUUGUAUUUCAUAACCAACAAAAGGAAGCCUGUUACACAUUUUAUAAAAUAUAAUCAAUUAAUCAAUAUAUUAUACACAUAAAUACGAAUUUAAAAAAUAUAAAUAGUAUUACCUAUUAAUUUUGUCCUUUAUUAAUGAUCUUUUAUUAAAUUAAAAUAUUGAUAAAUUUUUGUUAUUAUUAGCUUGACUCAUUGUUGCUAGAUAAUGUUCGAUUUUUAGGUUAUUCAGGGACAAUAUUUUUAGCAAGAGUUCACAAUAAAAAACAAGUCACAAUUAGAGUUGGCAACGGGUCAGGUCGAGACGGGUUUUUGCUCACUCCGAACUCGAUCGGAUUUUGUAUCCAUCAAAUCUAAACUCGAACCGUCCCAAUUUUUUUAAAAUUUUUUAAUACCCGACCCGACCCUGAUAUUGUGUAAAUCGUACAUGAUCCGAUUUGACCUGAAAUUAAUAAAAUAUUAUUUUUUAAAAUAUAAAAUAUUAUUUUUAAAUAUAAAUAUUUAAAUACAUAAUUAUAUAAAUAUAUAUAAAUAAAAAAAUUAAAUAAAUAAUUAAAAAAAUAAUUUUUAUAUAAAUAUGGGGUUGGGUCGGAUUUGCCUAAAACCCGAACCUGACCUGAAACCUGAUUUUCAAAAAAAAAAUCGACUCUAGAGGGUUGGGUCGGGUUGAAACCCGUCGAGGACGGGUUGGGUUGCUGAUCCUAGCCAUAAUUACAGGGAAAGCCAGCACAUAACUUCAUCAUCAAUCGCAAUUCCACAAUAAACACAACCACAAUACAUAAGCAAUAGGAAUUAGAAAUUCAGUAGGUUCUUACGCACGUUAGUGAUCAAGGUGAAAAAUUUUUUUCAUUAAUUGUCAACUAGCAAAAUGUAUGCUGUCAUCCAUUUCAUACAUUUUAAUUUUUUAUUUUGUUAAUGUAUAUAAAAUAUUUGAAUGUUAUUAUACUAAUUAUUAAACUUUGUAUUAAUUAGAUGUAUAUUUAAAUGUGAAUAAAGUUAAUAUAAAUUUCAGUUUCUGAAUUUAAACUCUUUAAUGAAAAUAAAAUUUAUUAAAAGAAUAUAGAAAAAAAAUACAUUUUUACAUAAUGACGGCGUUUGCGUUCGUCGUGGGUCGCUAAAUGAAUAAUUUAGUGACGUUUGUAGCAUAAAACGUCACUAUAAGUAGCGGCACUCUUACCAGCAAAUGUCGCUUGUUAAGUAGCAUUUUUCUCAUAAAAAUGCCAUUAAAGCAACGGUAUUUUUAUCAUAAAAAUGUCAAUGAAUUAACGACGACUAAAAGAUAUAAACGCCGCUAAUACAAAGGCGUUUUCAGAUUCAAAUGCCUUUAAAGUAAAGGCAUUUUCAGUUAUAAACGUUACCAAAGCAACUACCUUUUUUCUCAUAAAAACGUCACUAAUUUAACGACAUCUCAAAGAUAGAAAUGCCGCUAAAAUGACAGUGUUUUAGAUAUAAACACCGCUAACAUUAUGGUAUUUUUUCUAAAAAGCCAUUAUUUAUCACGACGCGUGAAUAGCCGACACUCUGCGUGACAUUUUUUGCAAACGCCGCAAAUCUUUUUGUGAUGUUUAUAAACAUCGUUAAACGUUAAAAAAAAUAUCAUUAAAAACCAAAACCCCUGUAAUGAGUACACAUGUAAUGAGUACACAAGCAUGCUUUGGCAUAAGGUUCUUAGAGUUUCAGUUUAGGUAACUUAAAAGGUUUUAGGUUUUAAAAUUGGAUCAAAAAGAUUAAGUCAAGGGCAAGAGCAUAUUUUGGUCUUAGGGGAUUUGGUCGGCAACGAAAGGCUUUAUCAGUAGUAGAAGAUUUUAGUUUUCGCUUUUAAAUCUAAGGUUUUCUUGACUUUUUUUUUGUAAAAACUAAUUGGAUAGGAAGGAAAAGGGAAUCAAGUAGAUUUUUUUGGGGUGAAAUUUGGUGACAAUUCGGUGCCAAUGGACGAUGGAUGAAAGUGGAUUAAGGCAGCUGCAACGGAAGAGGUUGGUUGGAUUCUGAGUAAUCUACUAUAGAUAUGAUAACGGUUCAAAUCAGAUUCAGUUCGUUUUUUAAAUAAUAUAUAAAAUUAUAAAUUUUUAAAAUUUGAUUUGAAUUAAAACCAAAUUUUUAUACAAUUUGAUCCUAUUCAAAUUGAAUUUUAUUGAUUUAGUUUGGUUUAUCGGUUUUUAAAAUAUUUUUGUUUUUAUAUAUUAUUUUAAUAUGAUUUUUAAUAUAUUUAAAUAGAUUUAAAUAUAAAAUAAUUAUCUUAUUUUAUAAAAAUUUAAAAAAUAUAUAAAAACUAAUAAAAAUAAUAAUUUUGUUCAGUUCGAUUUUUACAAAGUUUUUUUAUUUUUAAUUUAAUAUUAGAAAUUAAUCCAAACAAUAAAAGAACAAAAAUUGAUCAGAAAUGAAUCGAAUAUUAUAAUUUUGAAUUGAUUUUUUAUUUUUUUGAUUUUUUUUUGCCUUUAGUCUAGUAUUUUUCUUGGAUGCUGUUGAAUUUAUGGAGAGAAGUUGAAAAAAUAAGACAAGAGAGAGAAGAUGGAAGAAUAAAAAAUAUUUGGCUAUUUAAGUGAGUUUGAAGCGCUACCAUUUUGAGACAGAAAGAAAGAGGCUUGUCUAGGGCCUAAUCCGAGUUUCUGGCUCGUGCUCCCACCUGCAAACACCUGCCUUGUAUAUAUAUUUUCAAAUAUUUUUAGUUUUAAUUUUAUUUUAUUUUCUUUAAGCUUUUAUUAAUUUCUUGUUAUCUUAUUUAUUUCAAUUUUUUCUUUUACUUAUCUAUUUGUUUUAAAUGUUUAGAUUUUUGAAUUAGGAAUGUGUUUUAAUUAUUUGAUAAGUAGAUAAAAAGUAUUUAUAUGAUAAAUUAAGUAAAUUCUAUUCUCAUAAUGUUAUUUAUAAAAAAUUUUAAGAAUAAAUGAAAAUUAUUUUGAUGAUGGAAUUCUAAAAAAUCAUUAUUGGUUAAUUUUUAAGAAUUUUUCAUGUGAGAUUUUUUUUUUUUAAAUUUAACUCGAUUGACAAAAAGUUUAUAAUAAAAAUUUCAAAAAAUUUUGAUAUUUAUUUUCAAAUAAAAAUAAAUAAAAUAAAAUUUUAAAAUACACAAAAAUUUCACAAAUUAUAGAAUUCUUAAAAUACAAGAUUGGUUGAUUUUCUAAGAAAUUUAUAAGUGAGAGAUUUUAAAAAAAUAGACAAAUAAAUGAAAAUUUUAGAUAAAAAUUUCCUUGAGAAUAAUUUAUAUUUAUUUUUAAGAAAAAGAAUAAAAUUAGAAAAUUAGAAUAAUGGAAAUUGAAGAAUUAAACAACAAACCUUUUUUCCAAAAAACAUUAAAAUAAAUCUAAGGAUGAAACUUUUUAAAAAAAUAAUUGAGAUUUUUUAAUAUUUUUGAAUUGAAAAGAAGUUUUUUUAAAAAAAUUUCAAAUAGAAGGAGAAAAACCUAAAAAUUCUUUGUAAUAUUUUAAUAAUAAAUUAAAAAUAAAAAAUCAUUUUAAUCAAGAUAAUUUUUAGAAUAAUUUAAAAUUAAUUAAUACUAUUUUAUGAUGGAUGUUGUAGGGGUGUUAAAACAUUUAUUAUAUGUAAUCGAAUUCUCAAACUUAAUUUUAAUAAAUAGAUCAAUCAUAUUCUUUUAAGUACUUUUAGUUAACUUAAGACAUCUUUAAAAAAAUAGAGUUGUUUGGUGACAAAUCACAGUUAAAUAAAAAAAAUAGUGAUAACUUUUAAAUUUAUAUCUAACAAUCAAGUUGUCGAACUUUUAAGUUAUGACAUAUGGUAACUUUUUUUUGAAUUUGUUGAUUGGUUAGUGUUUAAUGUUUCUAUUAGAAGAUGAAAUAAAUUUUGGUUUUUUUGGUAAACCCUUACAUUUGAUCUUAAGUUAAGUAUCAAUGAAAUUUGAUUAUGGGAGUUAACUAUUCCGUAAAUUGAGACUAACCUUUUCAUCGUGCACCAAUAUCCCCUCCAAUUCCAUCCUUUUGUUAGCAAUCUCUGCUUUGUCAAAAUUCCUUCCUGUUCGUUGAUUCGAAAACAUUUCUUCUGUAGGUUCAACCUAAUAAUAGAGUAAGCACAAAGUUUAAUUUUCAUGGUUUCAUCCAAAUUCAACGAGGAAAAAAAAUUGUUAUAAUACACUCAACAUUAAUUUGCUCAUACAAUUAAUUAAAGGACUAUAAUUUAUUUGCUCGUGUCUUACCUCAGGAAGGACACAAUCAAUAGGUGCAAUAUAAGUGCAUUCUUUGCAAAAAUAAACAUGAUGUUCUGCAUUCCUUUCUGUCUCGCACAUAUCACAGUAAUAAUCUCCCGAAUCAUCUUCAACAAAAAGAUUUUUAAGCACAAGUGGAUGCAAGUGACGUUUGUGUUUAACAAUUAGAGGUAGUUGAAUACACUCAACAUCUAUAUAGAAAUCACACUUUAUGCAGCCGAAGAAAGAAUCAUCGCAAUCUUUAUAACAAGCAUCACAAGAUAUAUUACUGAUAAUGCUCUUCCCCAAAUGUAGACGAUGGUGAGGAUGGCAAUUGUGCUUUAUAGCCCGAGUUCGGUACUUAGCACAUGAAACGUGCAUGUUAACAUCACAUUGAUUACAGUAGAAGCUGAUGCCCUUAACUUCUUCCUUACAAGCACUGCAUCUGUGAGAAGAACCCUUAUGGAUCAGUCGAGGGAGAAGAAUAUGUUGUGGGUGAAAUGGACCUUGAAGUACUUGUCUUGGCAUGUCAUUUACACAUGAUUCAUGAAUGACAAAUCGACAAGGAAUGCAGGUAUAGAUUAGAAUAUCAUGGAGUUUCUGUUUGCAUGCCAUGCAUUUGGGCUUUUCUAGCUUCCAUAGAUACUUAAAAAUUUCUUUACCCAACACCGUCUUCAACAAAGAAAACUUGCAGCGGGUCAGUUGAUGAUUGUGGUUGAAAUGAUGAAUUGUGGUUUUAAUUCGCCUCCCUUCCUGUAAGGCCUCGUGGUUAGCUAGCUCACAAUCAUUAGAAAUAGUGACAGCGCAUCUGAAAUCAAGGUUGAAUGUACAAUUCAUGCAACUGUAACUGAAUGAAAAUGCCCGCCAUAUUGCACAUCGGUCACACACAAUCACGUUGCCCAGAGUGAAUCUUAGCGGGUGGGGGUGAAAAGCAUCUCUUUGCAUUUGAGGGGGCAAUUCAGCACAUGAUUUGUGCAUAUCAAACAUGUUACAUUUUUCACAAACAUAUGCUGGACCGCAAAUGAUAUCCCGGCACCCAAAGCAACUCAUAGUAUUGUUCUCCUUACCCACCUCUAUAAAGGUCAAGUUGUGGUUGUGAAGAAAAUGUUUGAACUCCAUGUUAUGUUUAUAGGACACAAAAAAAGGUAGAACAAUGAAAGAGUGAGGGCAUUAAUUGCAAGUUGAAGAGUUCUUGAAAAAAGAAAAUUUACUGUUUUUAACCUCUUUUCAUUGACUUUGUCCAAUUGCCAAAAAAAUGCAAGUUAUAUUACAUAUAUAGAACAACAAUUUCUUGAGUGUUUUUCAAUUUUUGGAUAUUCAUGAAUGCCUUAUCUUUGCUACUGUAUCUUUCAUUGACCUUGUCCAAUUUGCCAAAAAAGACAAAUGUAAGUUAUAUUACAUAUAUAGAACAACGAUUUCUUCAGUGAUGGAAGCACAUAGGCUAUAUACUACUUCUAUGCACGCCUAGAAUACGGGUAAAUGAUAAUUUAUUAUUAAGAUAAAAUUUAUAAAGAAGAAAAUAAAAAAUGCAAUUAUAUAUCUGAACAUCGGAGAAGAAAAAAGAAGUGUAUACACAGUUAUUUAACAUUCAGAAAGAAAUAGCAAUAAUAUCGAUUAGUUUUAAAAUAUUUAAAUCAAUUUUUAAACUUAAAUACCUUAAAAUAUUAAAUAUUUUUAAUUUAAUUGCUGUCACUUGUGACGUCAAUUCAGUCAAGGAUAAAAAUAGUAUAGAUAUAAACACUAUAAACUUGAUAACGUUAGAUUAAUAAACUGGAGUGUCAUCUAGAGAUCAUGAAAGAGGACAAUAGUAUGUUUGGUAGGAACAAGGGAAAAUAUAAAAAAAAAAAAUGUGAGGAAAAAGAAAGAAAAGAGGAAGAAAAAUUAUUUUUUCAUUGUGUUUGGUAUAAAGGAUUGAAAAUAAAGAGAAUAAAAUAGGCUAAGAGUAAAGUUAUAAAUAAAAUUAAUAAUUUAAAUUUAGUUCUUUCUUUUUACAUUUGAAAAAAAAAAAUAGAUUUUAAGAAAAAAAUGUAAAUUCAUUCAUUUUUUUUUAUCUUUUUAUUUUUCACGUACAGAAUAGAAGGAAAUUUUUUUUUUUCAUUUUUUUUUCAUCUUUUUCUCUUACAAAAUACAGCAUAGAAGAAAAGAAUUUGUGUUCAACAACUCAGUUUUCAAUAUUGGAUAUUUUAUCAAUUUUUUUUAAAAGAAAAGGAAAAGGAGAGAAUAAAGGAAGGAAAUGUUUAAACUUUAAUUUGGUGAAUCGUCAAGAAAUAUUGCUUUUCCCUAAAGCAUAAAAUUGUUUAAUAAUUAAAUAUUGCUUUAACGAUUUUGUAGAUCUUUUAGCCGUUAAACCAUUCAAAGAUCUGUGUUGGAAAGCCAUAGUGAUCACAAGGAAAGGAAUUUGUGUUCAACAACUCAGUUUUCAUUUCAAUAUAUUGAAUAUCUUAUUAUUUUUAUUAUUUAAAAAAAAAAAAGAAAAGAAAAGAGAGAGAAUAAAGGAGGGAAAUGUUUAAACUUGAGAUGUAUCAUUGUUAAUUAGGUGACUCAUAUUCAAGGAACGUUGCUUUUCCUUAAAACAUAAAAAUUAUUAAUAAUUAAUAUUGCUUUAAUAAUUUUGCAUAUCUUUUAGACGUUAAAUAAUUCAAUUAUCUAUCUGGGAGCUAUGCUCUGAGCAUCUACGUCUAACUUGCCUCGACGGCCAAUAUAAAAAAAAAAGUUCUUAUUAAAAUUUUUUAUGAAAUUAUAAAUAGAAGAAAAAUUAUAAUUAUAAUAAAGUAUUAUAAAAUUAUAAAUAUAAAAAAAAGUUACAAUAAUAAUCAAAUAUUACAUUUAUAUAUAAAAAAUCAUUGAAUAAUCAAAUAAAUAAAUUAAAAUAUAAUUAAACAAAUUUAACAAAAAGUUAAACUAAAUCCUUGUAUAAUGAAAUUUAAAUUUAAAAUCUCAUAAUUGUAAGACUUUCUCUUCACCAUUAAAAUAAGGAAUAUAUGUAUGUGUGUGUGUGUGUGUAUAUAUAUAUAUAAAUCUAAUCUAAUCUAAUAUAACCCUAUUUUUUUUAUAAAGAGAGUUAUAAUUUGCAAAUAAAAAAAAUUAUAGGUGUUGAAAUUUGAAUUUAAAAGCUAAUAAAUGAUAAUUUUCAAAAUAAUUAUAUAAAUAAAUUGAACUAAACUAAUUGAAUUCAUAAAUUUAUGUUUUAUUGAAUUCUAUUUUUUUAUGUUAUUCACUUGUGGAUUUUAUAAUAUUUAAUUAUAAUUUAUUACUAUAAUCUAGUUGGUAUGUGGACUUGGUUUCUCAAAAUUAACGUUGUUGUUCACCAGUUAAUGUUAUUAGUUAAAGAAAAUGACAAGUUAUAUAUAAUAAGAUUUUGUAAGGAGUGUUUUUACGUAAUAAGUAAAAUAUUUUUGGCUAAUAAGUAAAUAUUUUUAUUAAAUUUAAAAUUAUAUAUUAAUUAUUGACAAUUGAAUUUAAUAAAGAUAUUAUUAUAGAUAAAAUUUCAAUUAAUGAAAUGAAAUACAAUAAAGAGAUGUAGGCACCAAAUCCUCCAAUGCUUUAUUUUUUAAAAAAUUGGUAAUUAGGGUUGCUAAAAAGUCAAUUAAUGUUAAACAUUGACUUUGCUCAUCUUUUCUGCCUCAAUCAAAACAGUGAAAUUGUGGGCAAGGCUACCAUUUCAUUAUUAUUGCUACCAUAAAUUAAUAAGGGUGUUUUCAUGAAUUAAUCAAAUUGAGACUUUCUUUUUACUAGAACUAAUAAACCUCAAUUUAGUUGUUAUUUUUAUUUUUAAUAAAAAAAAUAAAGAACAGAAAUAGAAAAUAAACUAAAAAAAAAAAUUCUCGUCAAUUAAACAAAGUCUAAGAGAUUCUGCUUAUAAUAAGUGAAAUUAUUUCUCUCACAUUUUUUGGCAGGUGGUAGAAUAUGCUUGUUGCUUUUCAUUUUAUUUUUUUUAAGAUUUAAAUAAUUUAUUCAAAUUUAUUUGAUUUAGGUACUCUAAAUAGGACAAAAGAAGUGAUAAGAUAAGUAUUUAACCACUAUUUGAUGUAUAAUAUAUAUUACAAGCAGAACUUAAAAAUCAUUUUCCCAUUUAACUAUUCAAGAAUAUAGAUGUUUAUUAAUGUCUUAUAUUGUGAACAUUUUGUGGGAGGAACAAUUUGCUCAAACAAAUCAAAUUAUAGCAACUUUAUUUAAAUCAUUACUUUAUUUGCCAAAUAUCAUACCCAUGUAUACAAAAGGGGAAUAGAUAAGGUACUUCAAUCUUACAUCGAAUAUGAAAGGGGGGUUACUAAGAUAUAAAAGGGUUCACAUCAUCUUUUUCUUGUGAAAUGCCUUUUAUGAGAUAAAAUCGUGAGGCCAUAGGGAUCAGAGCGAACAAUAUCUCAUAAUAGGUAGGCUAAUCUGAGAUGUCGAAUGAGUGCAUACUCAGGUUUUAAAAUCACAUGAGCUUGGAGGUUAAGUCUCGGCUCGUGAAAAGUGGUAUCAGAACAAGCCCUGGAUCGUUUGACCAACGCCAAGCACCUCAAGAGAGGUAGACAAAGUGGUCAGCCUCCGUAACGAGGGCGUCACAAGGUUGGGUGGGGAAAAAUGUCAUGCAAAGCUCUCCAAUAGGGAGUAAGCAGGGUAUUCCAAUCCUACAUCGGACAUAAAAGAACGGUCACUAAAGUAUAAAAGUGUUUACAUCACAUCUUCUUUGUGAAACACAUUUUAUGGGAUAAAAUUGUGAGAUCAGAGAGAUCAGAAUAAACAAUAACUCACAAGAAUAUGAACCGUAACAUAUAAAUUGGUCUGUAAUGUCGGAUGAGUGCAUAUUCGAGUACUGAAACCACACAAACCUGAAAGUUGAGUCUCGGCCUAUGACAAUGACACUUAUUUAGUAUUAUUACUCCAUGUUCAAGGAAAAUAAUAUUUUGUUUUUGGUCAACUCCAAAUUUCCAACAAGACAUCUCAGGUUUUUUCCCCCCUAAGUCUUCAUGUUUUUGUACUUGCUUUCCAUUUUUGCUGUUCUUAUUAGAUUUCUAUUCCUCAACCAUUUUUUUCCUUUAUUUUCUAGUCUUUACUGUUUAUGGAAUGCUUUAUAUGAUUAUUUCCAACGGUCUUAUAAUUUUUAUUUGUGGAAAUUGGUUGCAUUAAGGUAGAGAACAAGCUGUGCUAUGAUCUUGCGUUUUUUUUUUUUUCUCCUUUUUUAUAAGAGAAAAAGUGUUCUGAUUCUUUAUUGGAAGAUUGAAAAUUCUAAACCAUCCAAGCAUAUUGUCUAUUAAAUGUAUUAUAAGCUAUUGUUCUGUCUUUAACGUAGAAUUUGUUGUUGUUAUACCGUCUUUGGAGUUUUUUUUUUUUUUCCUUUCUGCUUCUGGUAAUAAUUUUCGUGAUUAUUAAUAAUCAUUUUCUUGAAUAUAUUGUCCAUAGAAUGUAUUAGUAAUAUCAAACAUGAUGAUAUUUAAUUCAUAAAAAUUAAUAAUUAUCAAUCAAAUAAAAUAAUUUCAAAUAGAGAUAAGAUAACUUUGAUAACAAAAUCAUUUCGAUAAUUAUAUUACCAAGAUAAUAUUGAAAAUGAUAGCUAAUGUUACCUUAAAAAAUUAUGACUUAAGUGAUCAAAAAUACCUUUGAUUGUAUUAAAAAAAUGAUUUCUUCUCUAUAUUACAUAGCAUAUAAAUUAAACACUGGUUUUGUGACUUGAUAAUCUGUUAAGUGUUAAACAAUUCAAGAUUUUGGGCAAAUUAAUCACAUCAUCGAUAUGUUUUUGGUCGGUUAGUAUACUAAAAUGUUGGAAGUGGUUUCAAUUAAUAGAGGUAUUUAUAAGUUGGAUCGAGUUGGGUUUAGAUCGGAUUCUUACUUGGUAUUGAUAAUUUAUAUAUUUGCUUAGGUUUGGUUUAAUAUGAAAUUUCGGACUUCAAAAAAUUUUCAAACUGGACCUAAAUUAAAAAAAUAAAUCCUAAACUCACUCGUUUAACUUAAUUUAUACAAUAAAAUUUUUUUAAAAAAGUAAUUAAAUUAAGUUUAAUGGGAUUAUAUUCAAUUCACAUAUAUAUGUAAAUUAAAAAUAAAAAUUAUAUGCAUAAAAAUUUAAAAUAAAAAUUAUAUAAAAAUAAAAAUUAAAUUUAAUAAAAUAUAUAUUAUUUUUAUUAUAUAUAUUUGAAUUACUUUAUAUAUAAUUCACACAUAUAUAAAAAUAAAUAAUUUAUAUAUAUGUGAAUUUGAUUUCAAGUUAAGCUAAGCUCAGACUUUAAAUCUUUUAUCCAAGAUUCGAUUUGAAAUUUAAAUGGACCUAAAAUUAUAUCCAAACCUAUUUAAUAGUUUUUAAUUUUUUUUAUCUAAAUCCUCUCAAAAUUUGGUAAGACUUUUAAGUUUGGACGAAUAUCCCGAUUCUUGAACAUGUCUAUCAGUUAGAUCUAUAAAAAAUUUUUUUUGUUAAUAUUAUCAAUAACAUUUUUGAGGAAGACAAGAUAUAAAUACGACUUUUUAAUGAAAAAAAUGCAUACAUUUAUUAUUGUCAUUAGACCAAUUUUAGUUUUUUAAAAUCGGAUGUAUGAUAUUAUUUAAUUUCUUUUGUUAUUCUUUCAUUAGUGAGCAACUGCAAAAGAUUCUGCAUACAAUGUUUAGUUUACUCAAAUUUUACGAAAUUUUGUCAUGAAUCCUUUGGUAGAUGCUUGUUAGCAGAUGCAUAUAAUAAGUGGAAUUAUUUCUUAUCUUAAACAAUAAGUACAUUAACUUUGGUGAAAUGAAAUUACUAAAGUCACCUAUUUGUUUUAAGAAACAAAUUUUUAAUAUACACUAGACUUGAAUGUAAGAUCUCUUAUUUAAAGCUCACCAAAAUUUAAUGAAUUUAGUUAAAAAUUAGUGACUUAUCAAAUAAAUACCUUAGUGUGUGUGUGUGUGUGUGUGUGUGUGUGUAUAUAUAUAUAUAAAAUAUUUUAGAGAGUAUCCGAUAACUAAAAUAUAUUUUUUUGAAAAUAUUUAAUAUAAUAAGAAGUCUUAAUAACAUUUUUCUUCCACGCAUGAUUGCAACCAUCAAAGAUUUAAUUAAAUUAAAUUAUAUAUUUUAUUUUAUAUUUUGUAGAAUAUAUUGUUAUUAAUUAUAGUUAUUAUUGUUUUUUUUAUAUAUUAUUUUUUUCUUUUGCAAAAUUUCUCAUUAAUGUUCAAUUAUCGAAACAGUAAGUUAAAUAUGUAUUUCUACUUAUUGAAAAAAUAAAAUAAUAGUGACAUUAAUUUGAAAAUUUUAUUUAGAGCAACAUUCCGUAUAAAAUAUUUUUAUUCGUACGUACAAUAAAGGGGAAAGAGAAAUGUUAACUCAAGAUAAACCAUUGUUUUAUUUACAUGCCAAAUAAAGUUUUACUUGCUAAUAUUCACAGCCUUUCAUUGUUCUCUUGUGAUUUUCAGACUUAAAGACACAUGUUGGAACUUGGAACGUUUGUUUGAAGGACUCUUGCAUUUUUUGAUCACCUUUCCUUUUUCUGUUUGAUCCUCAAUCUGCUUUUCACUUCUCCAACGACCUCAUCAUUUUUCCUCUAUGCUUCAGGAAGUUCAACCUAAAGAAAACGCAUGUACCAAGUUUUAAUUAGUUUCACAUUUUUCAGCAAAUAAUAGCAAAAAUGCUUCUUUAAUUUCAAAAUGAUGAUGCAACAAUUUAUAAUCUAACUGGAUAUAUAGAAGCCAUUAAAAUGAAUUCACCACACUAAUUAAAAUUAGCAUGUUAUUAUACGAAAAUAUAGGCCAUUUCCGAGGUUUUCUCUAUAUGCAGGCCUCAUCAUCUCUUACCUUUCAUCUAUCCUUCCCCUCUUUGUCAGCCUUCUCUUCUUCAGAUAUUCAAAUAUCUUUUCAGGAGGUUCAACCUAAUAAAAGGCAUUUACCAAGUUUUAAUUAGUUUCAUGCUUUCAGGAAAUAGCAGCAAAAAACAAUGCUUCUGUAAUUUCAAAAUGAUGAUGUAACGAUUUAUAAUAUAACUAGAUAUAAAAGCUAUUAAAAUGAAUUCGGCACUCUAAUUAAAAUUGGCUUGUUAUUAUACGAAAUUUAGUAAUAUAUGUCAUUUCCAAGGUUUUCUACAUGUGCAGAUAUUGCUACUUCUAAUUAAAUAACUAGUAUUUAGAUGGCUCCACUUACCUCUGAAAUCACACAAUCAACAUGCGCAACAUAAGUGCAUUCUUUGCAGUAAUAAACUUCAUGCUCUGGAUUCCUUUCUGUUUCACAUAUAUCACAGUAAUGUCCUCCAGAAUUGUCUUCGACAACAGAGUUUGUAAGUGUAAGUGGAUGCAAAUGGCGCAUAUGUUUGACGAUAUAUGGCAGUGAAAUACAUUCAAGAUGUAUGUAGAAUUUACACUUUAUGCAGCCAAACAAGGUGUCGUUACAAUCUGUACGACAUCUAGCACAUUUGGGAGAUGUUUUAACGAAAAUGCUUUUCCCCAAAUGUAGAAGAUGGUGACCAUGGCAAUUGUGCUUUAUCCUGCGAGUUUGGUAAUUAGCACAUGAAUAGUGCAAGCCAAACCGGCAUUCAAAACAAAUGAACGCGAUGUCUACAAUUCUGUCCCUGCAAAAUCUGCAUUCAGGAUAAUAACCCCCAGAUACGAGUGGAAAUGGGAGAAGAGGAUGUUGUGGGUGAAAUGGGCUUUCAACUUCCAUCAGCAUGUCCUUAAGACAGGAUUCAUGCAAAAAGAAUUCACAACCAAGGCAAGCAUAAACUAGACCAUACAGGUAUUGUCUGCAUGCCAUGCAAGACAGAUGAAACUCAGUUUGCAAUCUAUUAAUCUUGCAACGAGUUAGCUGAUGAUUGUGGCUGAAAUGAUAGAUUGUAGUUUGAAUUUCCCUCCCUUUAAGGGCCUCAUGUUUAGCAAGAUCAUCAUUUAAAGCAGCGCAUUUGCUCUCAAGGCUAAACAAACAUAGGUUACAGUUGUAAGAUAAACCGCGGCACAGUUCUCCACAUCCGUUACAUACAAAUAUAGUCUCUGGAUCAUUAUCAUUAAGUGUCAGUGGGUGAGGAUGAAAAGCAUUCUUUUGUAUUUCCUGACCAAAAAAAGGAAGCCGAUUACACAUUUUAUAAAAUAUAAUCAAUUAAUCAUUAUAUUAUACAUACACUAUUUUAUGUAUAAACACGAAUUUCAAAAUUAUAACUAGUAAAUGAUAUAUAUCUUGAAUAAUUUAUUUUAUUACCUAUUAAUUUUGUCCUUUAUUAAUGAUUUUUUAUUAAAUUAAAAUAUUGAUAAAUUUUUAUUAUUACUAGCUUGACUCAUUGUUGCUAGAUAAUAUUUGAUUUCUUCAGAUCUUAUGUCUUUAAUUGCUACUAGUUUUUAUUAAAUAAAAUAUAGAUUGAUUUUUAUCUAUUUAUUUCUUCAUUAAACCUUGAACUCUAUAUUAAAGCAAAUUGUUUUUAACAAAAUUUAAAUUUAGUUGUAUAAAAAAAUAAUAUUUUUAUUUUUAUUAAAUCAUUAAAAUGUUUAAAUAUCAUGAGAUUUACAUAACUGGAAUAGGUUUCAGUAACUUCUAACGUCCAAUUGAAAAUAUAUGAUGUUGCAAAUAUAUAUAUAUAUAUAUAUAUAUAUGUUUUUAUUGACUAAUAAUGAUAUCCUUUUACACGAAUGGUUAUAGGAAGUCGGAGAAUGAACCUCUAAUUUUGGGCAUUUUUGUAUUUUGCUUCCUUUUAUUUUUUUAUUAAAUUUAUAUAAUAUCUUGAUACUUAUAAUUUAUGUUAUGUAUAAUUAUAAAUAACUUAUAAAUAUUAUAAUUUUCAUAGAACUGACCAAAACUUAUAAUAAUAUAGAAAAGAGAGCUAAUAAGUCAAAUACAGUUUUGAUAUAUUAUUAAUAUAAUUACUAAUCAAUACUAUUUUUUUCAUUGGAAUUUUUUUGAUUUAAAUGAUAAAAAUGGCAGUAUAUAUAUAAUAAGUAAUAAUAAUUUUGUUUUUAAUUUAAUAGGUUUUAUGACUCAUAUUUACAUUUAUAAGUAAUUUAGACUGGUUUUUUGUAUUAGAACUGUUGAAGAUCCCUUUUUUUAUUUUAUAAGUUAUUUUUUCAUUGGUUAUGGAAUUACAUGUCUUUCAUAAUUAAUUAUUUUUUUAAUUUUUUGAUAACUUAUUAAUCAAACAUAUAUUUCAUAUAAAUUGAUAAAAUUAUUUGUAUGUAUCAUUGUUUUUUAUUUUUCUAAAAUGUAUUAUACUGAUAUCAUAUUAUAUUAAUUGUUUAUUUAUAUUAAAGUUCUCUAAUUAAGAAAGUUAUAACAAAAAUUUUGUAUAGAAAAUAGAAAAUUUGAAAAUUUAAUAAUAUAAAUUACUUUAAAAGAAUUAAUUUUUAUCAACUUAUCCAUUCUUACAAUUACUGUUUUCUAAUGAUAAUAAUAAAAUAUAUUUCCUCCAUCCCUUAAAUAAUGACUGAAUUUAAUUUUUUGCAGUAAAAUUUUUCAAUUUUGAUCUUCGGUAUUUUAAAAACUUUAUUAAACUAAAUUUUUAUAAAAAUAUGUUUGAAUUUAAUUUAUUCAGUGUUUUUGAACUGUUUUUGGUAUUUUAAUUUCUCCCGGGUUUGUUUGGGAUUUUGGUUACAUAUAUAUCAUUAAUUUAGAUAUCCAUUUAAUCCGGGGUCCUCGUCUUCAAAUUUCGGUAUUAAAUCCAGCAGUUUGUAAUUGGAUUUUGAUAUGGCCUAUUCGAAUUAAAGAUUAUUCGACUUGAGGCCAGAUUGGUUUUGGACAAUAGUCGGACACGGUUUGGGUUUUAAACCAAAAUGCCUAAAUUAUUUUUAUUUUUAUUUUAUUUCUUGUUUUUAAUUUUUAAUUUAUUAAUUAUUUAUCUUUAUUUUGAUUUUGAUAUUUGUCUUCAAUAUUAGUGAUUGACAUUUAUUUUUUAUGGGAAUUCUAAAACUAAGUUGUUCUAUAAAAUAUUUAAUAAAUUUGACAACAGAAAUUUUUUUAAAUGAAUAAAUGAUUUUAUUAAGUAACUCUUGAUUGCUAAAAAUUUUGUUAGGAAUUUCACAAAAUGGUAAGGAAGACUUAAAAUUUUUUUCAAUAUUUAAAUGACAAAACCUAGAUAAAAUAGAAGACUUUUUUAAAUAAAUAUAAUUAUUAAGAUAGUUUAAAAUUAAAUGAUACUAUUUUUAAAAUAAUCGUUCGUAAUUAGGGUAAGUAGAUCAAAACAUAUUUUUUUUAAGAACCAUUACUUAACUUUAAAAUAGGGUUUUAGCAUAAGGCUCUUAACAAUUCGCAGGUACACAAUCAUUAAAAUAGGGUUUUGGCAUAAGGUUCUUAGAGUUUCAAUUUAGGUGAUUGAAAGGGUUUAGGUUUUAAGACUUGAUCAAAAAGUUAAGUCGAAGACAUAAGCGUAUUUUGGUCUUAGGUGAUUUGGACAGAGACGAAAGGCUCUACUAGUAGUAGAAGAUUUUAGUUUUCGCUUUUAGAUCGAGGGUUUUCUUGGCCUUUUUUGCCAAAACUAAUUGGAUAGGAAGGAAAAGGGAAUCAAGUAGAAUUUUUGUCAUGAAAUUUGGUGAUAAUCCGACAUCGAUGAACGGCGAAUAGAAGUGAAGGAAGGCGGCUGCAACAAAGGAGGUUGGCUGGG
rnacentral:lncRNA from 1 species